CAUGGGGUAUGUACAGGCAAUGAAGCCACCCGGUUCCCAGGGCUCUCAGAGCACCUACACGGACCUGCUGUCUGUCAUAGAGGAGAUGGGCAAAGAGAUCCGACCCACCUAUGCUGGUAGCAAGAGUGCCAUGGAGCGCCUGAAGAGAGGAGUGCUGAGAGGCCACCGUGAGUCCCAUCUGUGACCUGAUCACAGUGCUGAUCUAACUGGAGCUUCCUCUCUGUGGUCCCACCACAUGGCACUUACUCCUUAACUCUUAGUCCAGGCCGCCUCCUCCCUCUCCAACAGGGGUGCAGAAGGCCUCCCUGCCUCAUCUCUGGGGCCACAGCUGACUCUUUUUUUGGUGUGUCUUUUACUAAAUAUGCCCUUUUUAUAUAAAUAAAAGAUGAUUUGGAGCCAU
rnacentral:lncRNA from 1 species